UACAGAGGUCUCAAGCGUUGUUCGGAAUCACUGGGCGUAAAGCGCACGUAGGCGGACUCUUAAGUCGGUGGUGAAAUCCUGGAGCUCAACUCCAGAACUGCCUUCGAUACUGAGAGUCUCGAGUCCGAGAGAGGUGAGUGGAACUGCGAGUGUAGAGGUGAAAUUCGUAGAUAUUCGCAAGAACACCAGUGGCGAAGGCGGCUCACUGGCUCGGUACUGACGCUGAGGUGCGAAAGCGUGGGGAGCAAACAGG
rnacentral:rRNA from 1 species